UGCGUAGGUGGUAUGGCAAGUCAGAAGUGAAAACCCAGGGCUUAACUCUGGGACUGCUUUUGAAACUGCCAGACUGGAGUGCAGGAGAGGUAAGCGGAAUUCCUAGUGUAGCGGUGAAAUGCGUAGAUAUUAGGAGGAACAUCAGUGGCGAAGGCGGCUUACUGGACUGAAACUGACACUGAGGCACGAAAGCGUGGGGGAGCAAACA
rnacentral:rRNA from 1 species